AGAGUUUGAUCAUGGCUCAGGACGAACGCUGGCGGCGUGCUUAACACAUGCAAGUCACGGGGGCUCGCAAGAGCAACCGGCGAACGGGUGCGUAACACGUGAGCUACCUACCGAGUUGUGGGGAAUAGCCGGCCCAACGGCCGGGUAAUACCGCAUACGCUCUCUUUGGGGCAUCCUGAGGAGAGGAAACGCUUGCGGCAAUUCGAGGGGCUCGCGGCCUAUCAGCUAGUUGGUGAGGUAACGGCUCACCAAGGCGAUGACGGGUAGCUGGUCUGAGAGGAUGGCCAGCCACAUUGGGACUGAGAAACGGCCCAGACUCCUACGGGAGGCAGCAGUGGGGAAUCUUGCGCAAUGGGCGAAAGCCUGACGCAGCGACGCCGCGUGGGGGAGGAAGGUCUUCGGAUUGUAAACCCCUGUUGCCCGGGACGAAUGCCCUCUUUUGAGGGAGUGACGGUACCGGGUGAGGAAGCACCGGCUAACUCUGUGCCAGCAGCCGCGGUAAUAC
rnacentral:rRNA from 1 species